rnacentral:rRNA from 1 species
AAAUUGAAGAGUUUGAUCAUGGCUCAGAUUGAACGCUGGCGGCAGGCCUAACACAUGCAAGUCGAACGGUAACAGGAAGCAGCUUGCUGCUUCGCUGACGAGUGGCGGACGGGUGAGUAAUAUCUGGGAAACUGCCUGAUGGAGGGGGAUAACUACUGGAAACGGUAGCUAAUACCGCAUAACGUCGCAAGACCAAAGAGGGGGACCUUCGGGCCUCUUGCCAUCGGAUGUGCCCAGAUGGGAUUAGCUUGUUGGUGGGGUAACGGCUCACC